rnacentral:rRNA from 1 species
UACGGGGGGGGCAAGCGUUGUUCGGAAUUACUGGGCGUAAAGGGCCAGUAGGCGGCCAACUAAGUCUGACGUGAAAUCCCAAGGCUUAACCUUGGAACUGCGUCGGAUACUGGAUGGCUUGAAUUCGGGAGAGGGAUGCAGAAUUCCAGGUGUAGCGGUGAAAUGCGUAGAUAUCUGGAGGAACACCGGUGGCGAAGGCGGCAUCCUGGACCAACACUGACGCUGAGGAGCGAAAGCCAGGGGAGCAAACGGG